UAGCAUACACUUUUAAAAAUAAAUGUAAAUAAGUAAAUAGAGACAAAAGACAAAUCUCCCAUGUAGUGUUCCAGAUAAUUUCGGUAGAUACUCCACCUCCUAACUCCCACUCUUUAUACAUGGGUUGUACAUGGUGAAUGACCAAAGAGGAUGGUAUGGAAAAUGGGGAAAAAAAGAGUAACUUUACAGUGGAGAAACUGACAAACACUACUUCAGCCAGGUAAUUAAUAGCGGAGAGAGCAAGCGUGUAUGUCCUGUGUUUCUCAACUUUGCUGACACCCUAUAGUCUUGUGGGGAACAGUCUGGUGAAGCAUAAAGAUCUUAGAUCUGGAGUCGGCCAGCUCUGAGCUCCAAUCCUACCUCUGUGUGCUCUUGGAGCAGUCACUCAACCUUAUUGAGUCUGUUUCCCCAUCUGUGAGAAGAGGAUUAGAAUGCAGCGAUGAGGCCGAGUGCAGUGGUUCAAACCUGUGAUCCCAGUACUUUGGGAGAUCAAGGCAGGAGAAUCGCUUGAGCCCAGGAGUUCAAGACCAGCCUGGGCAACAUAGAGAGACCUCCAUCUCUACAAAAAAUUUAAAAAUUAGCUGGGUGUGGUGGUGCACACCUGUAAUCUCAGCUACUUAGGAGGCUGAGUGGGGAGGAUUACUUGAGCCUGGGAGGUUGAGGCUGCAGUAAGCUAUGAUGGUGCCACUGCACUGCAGCCUGGGUGACAGAGUGAGACCCUGUCUUAAAAAAUACAUGACAUUAAAAAAGAAAAAGAAUGCAGUGACGUCUGUCUGGCCCUUAGCAACUGUGAGUGCUGUUGGAAUCAUAUUCUAUUUGAAGGCAGCUCCAAAGUACUGGAGUGGAGUCAGGGGUGGCUUUGCAGAAGGGUCCUGCUGUUGACACACUUUCCCUCGGGCAGAUCCCCUCAUACUGCCAGACUUUCCAGUCCUUCACUCAUUCUUCACUAAACUGCAAGGGGCCAGGGUGAGAUGGCUCACGCCUAUAAUCCCAGCACUUUGGGAGGCUGAGGUGGGUGGACUGCUUGAGAUCAGGAGUUUAAAACCAGCCUGGCCAACAUGGCAAAACCCUGCCUCUACAAAAAAAAAAAAUACAAAAAUUAGCCAGGCGUGGUGGUGUGCGCCUAUAAUCCCAGCUACUCCAGAGGCUGAGGCAUUAGAAUUGCUUGAACCCAGGAGGCAGAGGUUGCAGUGAACUGAGAUCACGCCACUGCACUCCAGCCUGGGCGACAGGGCGAGACCCUGUCUCAAAAAAAAAAAAAAAGCUCCAAGGUCAAGGGCUUUUCAGACCCUCUUGGUCCGUUUGGUUAGGGGGUAUUUUCACAAAGCUUUGCCUGUUAGCUUUAUGGGACCUGGAGGGCAUACUUUAUAGAACACAAUUUUCAUACCAGUGUCUCUAACCACAAACCCCAAGAGUCUGAACGUUGAGACACUCAGGAAGUUGAAAGGGACCUCUCCUCUUCAGAGGCCCGGCCCAGCUCACAGGAAUGGCAUGCAUCAAAAGGCAGGAAGUCCCUCACAAGUCUGUCCUAUCAAGCCACCAGACACUGGUUACCUUUAUGUGGCUGCACAACAGGCUGAGUUCCCAGGGAGGGGCGAGGUGGUCUGGGGCCUUCAAGCCGUGGUGGAACCCACGCCUGAGAAGCGAGGCCUGCCGCUCCCACCACAGGAAGCCUGGCCCCCGCCAGCAACAGAGAGACUCAGAGCCCGGGCCUCGAUGCCCUCAUGGGAUAAGUGGCAUUUUGGUUCCUGUUUCCUUCCCUCUCUGUUUUUCUUUUCAUAGAUUCUCCAUGCAAAUAUUAAACAUGUCCUACAAAUCUCAGGAACCAGCACACAGAGAAACACAGAGAAGAGGUACAAGCAGAUGACCUGGGCUCAGCCAUAUGAAAACACUCAGCGCCUGGCCAGGAGUGGUGGCUAACGCCUGUAAUUCCAGCACUUUGGGAGGCUGAGGCAGGAGAAGCGCUUGAACCCGGGAGGAGAGGUUGCAGUGAGCCGAGACGGCACCACUGCACUCCAGCCUGGGCAAUAGAGCAAGACUCAGCCUCAAAAAUGAAAAAAUAAAAACUAAAAACACUCAGCCCUAAUUCGAAUGGAACAUGAGUUGCCCCACCUGCAGUGGCAUAGGAUAGAGUUCCUGGAGCAGGUGCAGCAGUGCUACUGGCAGUCUGAAGGCUUCAGUGCUGGAGAGGUGGGAGGAGAAGCAACAGCAUCUACAGUUCAGAGAACCAGUCUUCCCCGUAAUUCAGAGAGAUGCCACUCUCCUCCUCAUGAAUCAUUUUACCGCUAAAGUUGAUUCCUAUGGCCUGCGACUGACAACUCUUAUUGAAGCUGUUGUACUGUUCUCUAUUUCUCUGUUUUUGAAGUAUUCCAUAAUAAAGAAAAUGAAUAAGGAGGAAA